AGACAAAACUGAUUGUGAAGUUUAAGUAAUUUUCUUAAGUCAUAAUCCUGUCACCUUAGGUCGAUCGGUACCUCAAUUUAAGAAUUAUGUUUAAAAAUUUUUCUUAAUUUCAGUUCCUAAAUUUGUCUAGGUCACACCCAACAAUGGUUCUCCUGGGCCAUUAGCUCAGGUGGUUAGAGCGCACCCCUGAUAAGGGUGAGGUCCCUGGUUCAAGUCCAGGAUGGCCCAUUCGGUGUUGGGGGUAUAGCUCAGUUGGUAGAGCGCCUGCUUUGCAAGCAGGAUGUCAGCGGUUCGAGUCCGCUUACCUCCACUGAUUAACCAUCAGAUAUCCAAAACGAUAUGGAGAAAUUAUUUGUUGAAGUGACUUAGAAAAAAUUAAUGACCCCAGCUUCCUAUCAUACCAAAAAUAACAUUGGCUGAUAAUAAGCUGGGCUCUCUGAAGUUCUUAUGAAUUUCAGUAGUUUCAGUAGAACCUUGACAACUGCAUAGAUAAAGUCUGUAAGAAAGCAUCAAGAUGAUGUAAGUUGCUUACUAUUUUUAAUUUAUUAAAAAAUAGUAAGAAAUUGUUGAUUUUAAUAAAAGCUAAGUCUCUAAAUAUUUCUAUAAGGAUGAUAGAGAUUUAAU
rnacentral:tRNA from 1 species